UGGAGAGAAGCUCGCUCUUUCUUCUGGGGGCGGGGGGUUGGUACCUGGCUGUUGCUAGGUAACUGUUGGGCGGAGCCUAGAGAAUGCUAACAAUGAUGGUGAUCGGAGAUUCCAACAUGGCAGCCACAGAGCAGGUCCUCGGGGUAGGAGCACAGGCUCCUAGACAGUCCUUCAAGCAACAUAUUGAAAAGGGAUCGAGAUAAUAACGGGCAGAGAUGAGUGUGUGGAAAGCAGCAGUAGCAAAUGGGAGCAAAUCUGCACAAGUGGGAAACUCUCCUGCCCUUAUAGGAUAAUAAAGGAGGGAGCAGGCUACUCACUCUGGAAAACGCACAUCUGUAAGCCCGAAUCCCAGUGUGAUGGUAUUUCAAUGACAGGGUCGAACUAAAGAGAGAUUAAAAGAGUAAGGCCCAGUGGGGCAAGUGGACAUACCACCAGACAGAAGACCUGGUAAGGCUGAAGCAGGUUCAGAACCCCCGAGAAAUCUUAUAAUUGAGAAUAGCAGGCAUUGGAACCAGCUUCCAGCCAGGCUCUGUCUGCCCUGGAACACGUAACCAGAGCACCCCGUGGAGAGGCCCAGGACAACUGGUCACGGUAGUAUAAAAACCUAGAGUUCUUCCGUUCCUGGACAUCCCUUCCUGCAAACGCUAUUUAAUCUCUGGUUCACCCUGAGUAAGAUGUAUGCAUUCACAUCACCACGAAUAAAGCAUUUUGGACAAGCAAGGACAAGCAUCUCCUUCAUCAAGGAUUGCCUCCGGGGAAGCCUUCAUUGCAAAGAGCCAUGCCUAAAUCUCCCAGAGAAGGCCUGUCCUCCAGACCCUCAGUACUUUCAGCGCUCACUCGGAACCAAACUGGAUUCUGCCCAGCUGUCCCCUUCCUGCCUGGUGUGUAGGGGAAGCGCGGACCCCACGGACCACCAUUCUCAACUCCUCCAAGUCUCCAGCAGUGACCAGGUACACAGGACAUGGAGAACUCCGGCCUCCGUGCCAGCCCCUGCUAUUUCUCGCCCAGGGAAACACGGGCUGGGACCCCGUAUCUUGGACUUCGUUCUGUCUUUCUUCCCUGAGCGGCAUCCCCGUGGUGAGGCAGACACACAGCCAGAGCCCGGAUCUAACAGCAGCCUGUGUGCCCUCUGGAGACACAGGAGACAUAUGUGCACAGAGAAGAGGCCAUGUGAGGACACAAAGAGCAGCCGUGGCACAUGCGUAAAAGAGACCUCAAGAGAAGGCAAACCUGCUCACACCCCCAUCUUGGACUUAGGAGCCCCUAGAACUCUGAAGAAUAAACGUUUGUUGUUUAAACCA